rnacentral:siRNA from 1 species
GGUGCUGAGUGUGCUAGUGCAUC